GAGGCAGGCUGGCCGGUGGUCUAGGUUCAGGCGAGGGGCGGUGGGGGACGCGGCAUUCAGCAGCUCUGCGUGUGUGUGUGCGCGUGUGAGCGCGUGUGCAAAUGCACAUGGGCGUGCAGGGCCCCUAUUGCUCGGCGUUCCGGGGUCUGGCUCUGCAGCAGGAGUGUCUGAGAAACCAGGCCAGCCCGCAGUCUGUGUUCUCAGCCACGCCGGGAGGAAAGCUCUGGAAAAGAAGACCACACUGUGGGUUAAGGACCAUGUCGCUCCGAGUGUCCUCCACAAAUUUCUUCUGGGUGUGGGAAAGCGUGCUGAUGCCCAGGCCCCCCACCCAGACUUGCUGGAUCGCCCCGAAGUCUGAGAGCAAAUGUGUUGUCAGGUGUUACUGUCCUCAGGAGUAUCUGCAUUUUAAGGACGGAAGCGGGGUGGGCAGAGGGCAAUGGCCUAACCCACUUGGAAGGAAUCAUUGCAGCAGGCUUCAGGCACGGGGCGGGGCAGAAAUUUAGGAACAGAAGUGUUUCUUGAGCCUCUGAAAUCACUCCAUUGGAGGACCGCGUCUGUCUGCUACAGGGACCAGGAUCUCCAAACUGAAAAUUUGCAAAAUAAAAACAGCUUAGAGAAAACAUCAUCCAAACAUAGGAGAGGGGGUAGGAAAGAAGACCUACUGGCACAAAAUAAGCUCCUGGCAAAGUUCCUCAGGUGAUCCUGUAUCAGGGAUUGACACGAUGGCUCACUGGUCCCAUGCUUAGAAGAAUGCAUAGCUGCUCGGAUGAUAUGCGCAAGACUACUCUUUUAUGGGCAGAUGUCCCUAGUAGAUAAUUAAAAACUGACUGCCUCAAUAAAAAAUAAAUUUAUG